rnacentral:tRNA from 1 species
UGCGGGUGUAGUUCAAUGGUAGAACAUCAGCUUCCCAAAGUGAGGACGGGAGGUUCGAUUCCCUCACCCGCUC